UCCUCAAAAAUCAGUAAACUAUGUUGUCCUUGCAAAUAUAUAUGCGACAGCUAGUUUGUGGGAAAAUGCAUGGAGGACAAGAAAAUUAAUGCAACAACAAUCAAGUCAGAAAGAUGCAGGCUGCAGCUCUAUUGACCUUCCUAGGCAUGUGUUUUUAUAAUCUCACCUUGAGGGUAUGAUUCUUAGAAGCCAUGGACUCAAUGCUUCCUUAUUUGUUCUCAUACGUCAGAAAGUUACAGGGCAGAUUCUCUUCUCACUGCAUGCAACAAUUGGUGAAGAGAUAACAGUUCCUGUUUCUCGGUGAAAUGUCAACAAGGGCAAUAUUCUCCAGUACUUGUGCAUAAAUGUAACCUGGAAGGACUCCGCAGGUUUUUUAGGGUCAAAUGUUGCCGAAACAAGCAAUACUCAUGUUGUCUCCGUUAGAGCCGAGCUUGUACAAAUAAAAAUUAUAUUGGUGAUGGUUCUUAUCCUAAAUUUCAUUGUAGCAAUCACCGUGAACAAAUGUAACUGUAAUUAGAUCAGUGAGUAAAUGUAACUUUCAGGUAGUGUAACCUGGAAAGACUCAUUGAUUGCUUUAAUAUUGUUAGAAUUCAGAAGUUAUGUAAUUACUUUAAUGUAAUAUUGAUUGCUUUAAUGUGAUUGCUUAUGUUUUGUGAA